AUUAGAGCGGCCCCCAAAAAAGGGGGCGGGGCCAGAGAAAGUGAGCAUGUUGGUUCAAUGCGCAGAGCCCCACUGAAGAGCUCUAGCAUUAGAAAAAGGCCCUGUAUUUGUUCUGCGCAGCGCAAGCAAAUGUAAUAACAUGCUUGCGCUGUGUUUGCUUUUAAAUUGUCUCUGGUGUCUCCACAAGUGGGAUACCAGAGGACAAAAGGGCCAGGAAAGUGUAUGGUGCAUGUGUUUGGCGCAUGCUUGUGGGAUUGCCUGUGUGUAGAGUGUGGUGUGGUAUUGUGUAAAUAGGUCAAUUUUGUGGUGUAAUAUGUGUGGCUAGGGGCUAUAGAGAGUGCGUGUAUAGGAGCAUAGUGUUAUAGGGGAUGUAGCGAUUGUGUGCAUACGGGCAGUAGUGUGUGUGUAUAGGUGACGUAGUGUGUGUCACUUA